AUGACAGACGAGGAGGAGGCCCGUCUCCUGCAGCGUGUCAUGGACGACUCCAUGUACGCGCACGACGAGCGGCAGUGGGACGGCCUGGAGGAGGCCAUGGCCCUCUCUGCCGCCGGGGACGUCGCCUUCCCCGAGCUACAGAUGGUGGCCGUCGAGGAGGAGAGGAGGGAGGACCCGCCGGCCGCGUUCCAGCAGCUGCUGGGCCAGGGGUGGGGCUGGUCCUGCACUGCUCCGGAGAUGGCCGCCGGCAUGGGCGUGAACUGGUGCCCCACUCCGCCGCGGUCAUCGGAGCGGGAGGCCUCGCCACGGGAGGAGGUGGUGCAGGCACCUCCGGCCGUCCAGCCCGCCCCCGUCCACCACGCACCUCCAGCCCACCUCUGGACGCCGCUGGACUACGUCGACCUUGUCAGCGACGACGACGACACCGGCGGCCUGUGA
rnacentral:rRNA from 1 species